AGCGUCACGUGAUUCUUGGAGCCUUUAGAUAUCUCCAGGAAUUUAUGUUUUCUUUUUAAAUGCUUUAUUUCUUUUUUUUUUUAUUCUCAAAAUUCACAAAACUCAAACUUAAAUAUAUUCUCUGGGGGAAUCAGAAAAGAUGUCAUUUGAUAUUAUUUGACGCUCGGCGACAAUUUCCGGUCUCGGCAAAUGCCAUUUGUUUUCAAGAACUAAUUAACAAACAUAGAAAUAAACGAUGAGAAAACAUGAGCACAAUGUGCGUUAAAUUCUGUUUUAGUCGACACGAACACGUCAUUUUUUGUUAAUCAGUGUUUGUUUUCAUUAACCGAAACACUUCUCUCACAUUGGGCAAAACUUCCACGUUCCGCGUUACCUUACUGACUGACGGUGUGCGUCGACAAACUCAGAUCUGAAGCGAUUAAAGACUCGCGCAGAGAUGACUUUUAUUGUGCUGCAUACAGAUUCAUCCGCGCUGACGAGCGGUGCCUGAUCACAACAACUCACAUCAAGAAAAUAACUCCGCAACUGAGCUGAUUCAAACAAGAAAGGCGGCAAAGAGGAAAAAGAUGCUGAAGAGAGAGACGGCCGGCUGCUCCUUCAGUGUUGGGUUUCUGCCGUUACCAUGACAGCGGUUUUACCAUCACAGGAGUAACCUUCAAACUCAGGUUUCAGCAGAUGGAGCCAAAUCAACACUGCUCUCUCUUUACCUGUAUUCAUAUUCUCUCUCUCUCUCUCUCUCUCUCUCUCAUUUGUAUUGCAUAGGAUAUUUGGAUGAGGCAAUGACAUAUUCAUUUACGGUGGACUGGAAAAAUACAUCUGUACCAUACCAUAAAUAAUAUAACAACAUAACAACAAACAAUAGGUGGAAUUAAAGUAAGGAUCUAGGUGUUUGAUAAAAUUGAAUAGAAUACAUGAAUAUAUAAGAAAAUCGGCUUUGAAAUGUGAGCGGUAAUAUAUAUGAACAAUUAUUUACUUUUAAUUUUUUCAAUUAUUACAAAAAUAUAUGAAACGGAGAUGCAUGAAAGAAAGAAAAAGAAAAACAUCACUGUGAUCUCUCUUUCAAUGUCUCUCUUUAUGUCUCGCUCUGUCUGUCUCUUUCUUUCUAUAUGCUCGUAGUUUAGUGUAGUUUAUUUCUAGUUUACUGUAUUAUUGUUCCGCGUUUAGUAUCCAUAAUAAACUCUGCUUGUAUGUUUCAAUUGUACAAAAAGCAAACAUCAAAACAUACAAAGAGUUCAUUGUAAUUAUGUUAUCAUCUUUGU